rnacentral:lncRNA from 12 species
GAAAAAUGAUGGGUCUUUGUCUUGCUGAAAACCAGGCAUCCAGAGUUUGUCAAGGAAAAGAGAUGCGUCAGCUGUAGCAAUGCUGAUUCUCAGGACCAAGGCUAUACAAAGGGAGCAUUGAGUGUGGGGAAAACAUGGGACAAGAAAAUAGUAAGUUCAGUCAUGUCUGCUGACAUAUUUCUCAGUCCUAGUGAAACCAUCCUCCAGGAUUUCUCUAUGGCUCACAAGCCAGCAGUCCCAUCUGGCAUUCUGACGCUGAUGGGGCAACCCAGCAA